rnacentral:rRNA from 1 species
GAUGAACGCUGGCGGCGUGCCUAAUACAUGCAAGUCGAGCGAACGGACGAGAAGCUUGCUUCUCUGAUGUUAGCGGCGGACGGGUGAGUAACACGUGGAUAACCUACCUAUAAGACUGGGAUAACUUCGGGAAACCGGAGCUAAUACCGGAUAAUAUUUUGAACCGCAUGGUUCAAAAGUGAAAGACGGUCUUGCUGUCACUUAUAGAUGGAUCCGCGCUGCAUUAGCUAGUUGGUAAGGUAACGGCUUACCAAGGCAACGAUGCAUAGCCGACCUGAGAGGGUGAUCGGCCACACUGGAACUGAGACACGGUCCAGACGCCUACGGGAGGCAGCAGUAGGGAAUCUUCCGCAAUGGGCGAAAGCCUGACGGAGAAACGCCGCGUGAGUGAGGAAGGUCUUCGGAUCGUAAAACUCUGUUAUUAGGGAAGAACAUAUGUGUAAGUAACUGUGCACAUCUUGACGGUACCUAAUCAGAAAGCCACGGCUAACUAAGUG